CGAAACGAAGUGAUCUAUCCAUGAGCAAGUUGAAGCUAGUGUAAGAACUAGUGGAGGACUGAACCCAUAGGCGUUGAAAAGCCCCGGGAUGACUUGUGGAUAGGGGUGAAAGGCCAAUCAAACUUCGUGAUAGCUGGUUCUCUCCGAAAUAUAUUUAGGUAUAGCGUUGUGUCGUAAUAUAAGGGGGUAGAGCACUGAAUGGGCUAGGGCAUACACCAAUGUACCAAACCCUAUCAAACUCCGAAUACCUUAUAUGUAAUCACAGCAGUCAGGCGGCGAGUGAUAAAAUCCGUCGUCAAGAGGGAAACAACCCAGACUACCAGCUAAGGUCCCUAAAUCUUACUUAAGUGGAAAACGAUGUGAAGUUACUUAAACAACCAGGAGGUUGGCUUAGAAGCAGCCAUCCUUUAAAGAAAGCGUAAUAGCUCACUGGUCUAGUGAUUUUGCGCGGAAAAUAUAACGGGGCUAAAGUAAGUACCGAAGCUGUAGACUUAGUUUACUAAGUGGUAGGAGAGCGUUCUAUUUGCGUCGAAGGUAUACCGGUAAGGAGUGCUGGAGCGAAUAGAAGUGAGCAUGCAGGCAUGAGUAGCGAUAAUUAAUGUGAGAAUCAUUAACGCCGUAAACCCAAGGUUUCCUACGCGAUGCUCGUCAUCGUAGGGUUAGUCGGGUCCUAAGUCGAGUCCGAAAGGGGUAGACGAUGGCAAAUUGGUUAAUAUUCCAAUACCAACAUUAGUGUGCGAUGGAAGGACGCUUAGGGCUAAGGGGGCUAGCGGAUGGAAGUGCUAGUCUAAGGUCGUAGGAGGUUAUACAGGAAAAUCCGUAUAACAAUACUCCGAGAACUGAAAGGCUUUUUGAAGUCUUCGGAUGGAUAGAAGAACCCCUGAUGCCGUCGAGCCAAGAAAAGUUUCUAAGUUUAGCUAAUGUUGCCCGUACCGUAAACCGACACAGGUGGGUGGGAUGAGUAUUCUAAGGCGCGUGGAAGAACUCUCUUUAAGGAACUCUGCAAAAUAGCACCGUAUCUUCGGUAUAAGGUGUGGUUAGCUUCGUACUAGGAUUUACUCCGAAAGCGAAGAAACUUACAACAAAGAGUCCCUCCCGACUGUUUACCAAAAACACAGCACUCUGCUAACUCGUAAGAGGAUGUAUAGGGUGUGACGCCUGCCCGGUGCUCGAAGGUUAAUUGAUGGGGUUAGCAUUAGCGAAGCUCUUGAUCGAAGCCCGAGUAAACGGCGGCCGUAACUAUAACGGUCCUAAGGUAGCGAAAUUCCUUGUCGGUUAAAUACCGACCUGCAUGAAUGGCGUAACGAGAUGGGAGCUGUCUCAAAGAGGGAUCCAGUGAAAUUGUAGUGGAGGUGAAAAUUCCUCCUACCCGCGGCAAGACGGAAAGACCCCGUGGACCUUUACUACAGCUUGACACUGCUACUUGGAUAAGAAUGUGCAGGAUAGGUGGGAGGCUUUGAGUAUAUGACGCCAGUUGUAUAGGAGCCAUUGUUGAGAUACCACUCUUUCUUAUUUGGGUAGCUAACCAGCUUGAGUUAUCCUCAAGUGGGACAAUGUCUGGUGGGUAGUUUGACUGGGGCGGUCGCCUCCCAAAUAAUAACGGAGGCUUACAAAGGUUGGCUCAGAACGGUUGGAAAUCGUUCGUAGAGUAUAAAGGUAUAAGCCAGCUUAACUGCAAGACAUACAAGUCAAGCAGAGACGAAAGUCGGUCUUAGUGAUCCGGUGGUUCUGUGUGGAAGGGCCAUCGCUCAAAGGAUAAAAGGUACCCCGGGGAUAACAGGCUGAUCUCCCCCAAGAGCUCACAUCGACGGGGAGGUUUGGCACCUCGAUGUCGGCUCAUCGCAUCCUGGGGCUGGAGCAGGUCCCAAGGGUAUGGCUGUUCGCCAUUUAAAGCGGUACGCGAGCUGGGUUCAGAACGUCGUGAGACAGUUCGGUCCCUAUCUGCCGUGGGCGUAAGAAGAUUGAAGAGAUUUGACCCUAGUACGAGAGGACCGGGUUGAACAAACCACUGGUGUAGCUGUUGUUCUGCCAAGAGCAUCGCAGCGUAGCUAAGUUUGGAAAGGAUAAACGCUGAAAGCAUCUAAGCGUGAAGCCAACUCUAAGAUGAAUCUUCUCUAAGCUCUCUAGAAGACUACUAGUUUGAUAGGCUGGGUGUGUAAUGGAUGAAAGUCCUUUAGCUGACCAGUACUAAUAGAGCGUUUGGCUUAUCUUUAAUAAAGCAU
rnacentral:rRNA from 1 species